rnacentral:rRNA from 1 species
AUUGAACGCUGGCGGCAGGCUUAACACAUGCAAGUCGAACGAGUGGCGGACGGGUGAGUAAUGCUUGGGAAUCUAGCUUAUGGAGGGGGAUAACUCCGGGAAACUGUAGCUAAUACCGCGUACCAUAGGAUGAGCCCAAGUGGGAUUAGGUAGUUGGUGAGGUAAAGGCUCACCAAGCCGACGAUCUCUAGCUGGUCUGAGAGGCUGACCAGCCACACUGGGACUGAGACACGGCCCCGACUCCAACGGGAGGGAGCAGUGGGGAAUAUUGCGCAAUGGGGGCAACCUGACGCAGCCCUGCCGCGGUGAUUAAGAAGGCCUUCGGGUUGUAAAGUUCUUUCGGUAGCGAGGCGUUAACUACAGAAGAAGCACCGGCUAACUCCGUGCCAGCAGCCGCGGUAAUUC